UGGUGGGGUAACAAACAUUGGUGAAUAGAGGAACUGAAGGUCAUAGAGAAAAGAAGAAAUUCUGGAAAUUAAGACUCUCUCCCCCUCCCCCUUCCACACACACACACACACAAGGGGAGGCAAAAGGAUAAGAAAUGAAGGCCCAAACACUUAACCAAAUUUCUUAGCAGAGAUUAGCCAUAUUCACCCAUCAAUCAAAGAACGAGAAUGAAAUUACCUGGAUGAGUCCAAGCCUUCCGACCUCCUGCAGAGGAAACCACUCGGAUGGUGAAAGAUACAAUUGGGGGAUUGUCCCUUGUUAAGCUCGAUAUCUCUGGGGAUCGGAUUUGCGGUAGGUGCAGGAAGCUAGAUUCUCGAUCCUCCAUUGCGCGAGACGGGAUGUGGUUUCUACUCUGUAUGCUGAGUCACUCAUCCUAGCAAACGCUAGGGCUGCGGUGAUUUCAUGGAUGCAACCGAAGAUGCCGUCGAGGAAGUGCUCUCCGGACUUCCCCAGCAUUUGGCUUCGAGGCGUGGUCUUUGCUCCUUCAAAGCAAAGCAUCUAUUUCAAUCCUUUGUUGGGAUUUAUUCGCAAUUUCGCAUGGAGGAGUCGAUUGUUGGUGAAUCAAGGCAGCACAAGAAAUAAGAAAAACCCACUCUGCAUUCAUGGACCCCAGUCAGUCAUGGAGGAACAGGUUAUUGAAUGGCUCAUAUGAUGUGCUAUGAUCUCAUCUCAUCCAUUGCUCAUUGGCUUCUGACCACUUCUAUUCUGUCAAAUCAAAUGGCACACUGUGUGAGCAACUUCGAAGGACGUGUUCUUUUCAUUCUCUGUAAAGAUAAGAGCCCCAUAUAUGGAUGAUGAUGUCAGUUGAUGAGACCAUAGAAUCAAGUGACGGUUAGUUAGAUUUCUACAAUAAAGUUGUAGUCUAGAUGUUAGGACGGGUCAAUGAUUCUAAUUUUUUAUUAGAGGUGUU